GCUCCCCGCGGAUCCAAGAUGGCGGCCGUUCAGCGGGAGCUGAUCCCGGGAAAAGGCCCAUGGUCACAAACGCGGGACUUUCAGGUCGUCAAACGAAGCUAGAGGGUUACUUCCUUCCUGUCUGUUUCAAAUAAGUUUCACCAGGCAAAGAUCUGACAGAGUUGCCCAGUUUUGAUCAGCCCGAAUGUCAUCGGAUUUUGAACACGGAAGGAGAAAGCACCAUUCAGUUAGGGGAGAAACCCUACACGUGUUCUGUGUGCGGGCAAGGCUUCAGCUGAUCAUCGGGCCUGAAGAAUCACAAUUGCAGUCGCACUCGGGAGAAACUAUGGAAAUGUGGGCACUGUGAGGAAGGAUUCAGAUCUCCAUCGGAGCUUACAUUUUGGUAGGAGUAACAGUAAAAAAGAUUAUUACUUGAA